UAAGAUCCCAUUACGUUCUUUUACAAAUUUUUCCCGCAUUUUUUUGUUCGAAGCGAAUCCUUUCCCUUUGAAAUAUUCUUUUUUAAACGACAACAGUCACAUGUAUAUCGAGAAUGGAAAAGAGGAUGACUGGAAGAAUCGAAAUCAGCAGGGGAAUGGAACAUACGCGGGAGACGGUCGUUAGACAACCAUUUCAGUAACCAUACCAACGGUAAUGCCGAAUCAUUAGAGGUUUCUGGUUGGCAACAAUGCCUCAAGGGGAGGGGAGGAGGAGUGAGAGGAACUUUUGUGCCGAGGAAUCGCUCGCGCCAAACAAAUCAACGGAAAUUGGGAUUUCUUGAUGGGAAUCGAGCUUGAGGAUAGAUGCCUACCGAUCAUCAUUACUGGCAAACGAUUAUCAACGAGGUGUCUGAUAGCCUGACGUUUGAUAAAAACCUCUGUGAAAUGGGUAUUCGAGUUGGUGUAAGUGAAAGAAAGCGAGAUAGCGAUUAAGCGGAAUCGUGGUGAAGAGAGAGAAAGAGAAAGAGCUUCCGUGUGUCGAGCAGGGAAAGAACGUUGAGUGUUACGAAUGAAAUAUAAUUCCAUCGACUUGGCUGUAAAACGUUGUCACUUUAAACCCGGAAAAUUGUAACGCUCCGGGGAAAUUAGAUUACGAGCAUAAAGGAAGGCAAUUUCUUUCGGAAGGAACGUUUAAUGAAAGCUUUUGAAAUCUAAAGAAUCUAAGAGAGAAGUGUAAAUAUAAUACUUCGAAAAAUAAAGAACAAUUGUGAUGGAUAAUUUCAAAAGAUGAUCGAACAAGCUUGAAAAUCCAUGGAAAGGAGCUUAAAAGUAUCGAUUUCCAUGUAAGCGAUUAACAGUCGCGACAACAAAACGCGAGCACACGCAAAAGAGCUAAACGAAUUCUGGCCGCGGGAUUAAACCGGGCACAAACGCGGACACAUUCAAUUAUCCGUUGUGCAUCCGGAUACAAGGCUGUGCUGGAGAUACGAGAGCCGCCCUCUCGAAUCCAGUUCUCGCGGCAUGGCCGCUCGAAAAGCGUAAAGACUAAGCGGAAAAGCGAGUCGACGUUUCCCUGGAAAUGUGCCGGCGUUAUCGUUUCCGUCCUCAUAACGUGCCACGGCGCCGCUUAUCGCGCUUUAUCAGCAACGAUCCGUUGGAAAGCUACGCGAGCACUUUCCACCCUAUCAUCUCUCCCCUCCGUUCACUCACCCCCGUUUUCCUUUCCUUUUAUUUUCCAUUUCCUCUCUCCUUUUUCCUUUUCCUCUUUUUCGAUUCGUAUUUCCGUACCCUCUUUCCUUUAAAUAUCGUUUUCAAUAUUUGAAAUAUCA